CCUACAACAAGUUCGAGCCCGUUAAUGGGUGAGAGCGUGCCUUUUGUAGAAUGAACCGGCGAGUUACGUUAUGAUGCGAGGUUAAGUUGAAGAGACGGAGCCGUAGGAAAACCGAGUCUGAACAGGGCGAAUUAGUAUCAUGACGUAGACCCGAAACCAUGUGACCUACCCAUGAGCAGGUUGAAGGUGCGGUAAGACGCACUGGAGGACCGAAACCAGGGCACGUUGAAAAGUGCUUGGAUGACUUGUGGGUAGCGGAGAAAUUCCAAACGAACUUGGAGAUAGCUGGUUCUCUCCGAAAAUAGCUUUAGGGCUAGCGUCGACAUUAGAGAUUCUUGGAGGUAGAGCACUGUUUGGGUGAGGGGUCCAUCCCGGAUUACCAAUCUCAGAUAAACUCCGAAUGCCAAUGAAUUAUGGUCGGCAGUCAGACUGCGAGUGCUAAGAUCCGUAGUCGAAAGGGAAACAGCCCAGACCACCAGCUAAGGUCCAAAAUAAUUGUUAAGUGGAAAAGGAUGUGGGGUUGCACAGACAACUAGGAUGUUAGCUUAGAAGCAGCUAUUCAUUCAAAGAGUGCGUAAUAGCUCACUAGUCGAGUGACCCUGCGCCGAAAAUGUACCGGGGCUAAAACAAUUUACCGAAGCUGUGGAUACCUUUAUAGGUAUGGUAGGAGAGCGUUCUAUGUGUGAUGAAGGUAUACCGUGAGGAGUGCUGGAACGCAUAGAAGUGAGAAUGCCGGUAUGAGUAGCGAAAGACAGGUGAGAAUCCUGUCCACCGUAAGACUAAGGUUUCCAGGGGAAGGCUCGUCCGCCCUGGGUUAGUCGGGACCUAAGGAGAGACCGAAAGGUGUAUCCGAUGGACAACAGGUUGAUAUUCCUGUACUAGAGUAUGUAGUGAUGGAGGGACGCAGUAGGCUAACUAAAGCAGACGAUUGGAAGAGUCUGUCUAAGCAGUGAGGUGUGAAUUGAGUCAAAUGCUUAAUUCUAUAACAUUGAGCUGUGAUGGGGAGCGAAGUUUAGUAGCGAAGUUAGUGACGUCACACUGCCAAGAAAAGCUUCUAGCGUUUAAACAUACUCUACCCGUACCGCAAACCGACACAGGUAGUCGAGGCGAGUAGCCUCAGGUGAGCGAGAGAACUCUCGUUAAGGAACUCGGCAAAAUGACCCCGUAACUUCGGGAGAAGGGUGCUGACUUUAGGUCAGCCGCAGUGAAUAGGCCCAAGCAACUGUUUAUCAAAAACACAGCUCUCUGCUAAAUCGUAAGAUGAUGUAUAGGGGGUGACGCCUGCCCGGUGCUGGAAGGUUAAGAGGAGUGCUUAGCGUAAGCGAAGGUAUGAAUUGAAGCCCCAGUAAACGGCGGCCGUAACUAUAACGGUCCUAAGGUAGCGAAAUUCCUUGUCGGGUAAGUUCCGACCCGCACGAAAGGCGUAAUGAUUUGGGCACUGUCUCAACGAGAGACUCGGUGAAAUUUUAGUACCUGUGAAGAUGCAGGUUACCCGCGACAGGACGGAAAGACCCCAUGGAGCUUUACUGCAGUUUGAUAUUGAGUGUCUGUACCACAUGUACAGGAUAGGUAGGAGUCUAAGAGAUCGGGACGCCAGUUUCGAAGGAGACGCUGUUGGGAUACUACCCUUGUGUUAUGGCCACUCUAACCCAGAUAGGUGAUCCCUAUCGGAGACAGUGUCUGACGGGCAGUUUGACUGGGGCGGUCGCCUCCUAAAAGGUAACGGAGGCGCCCAAAGGUUCCCUCAGAAUGGUUGGAAAUCAUUCGCAGAGUGUAAAGGUAUAAGGGAGCUUGACUGCGAGAGCUACAACUCGAGCAGGGACGAAAGUCGGGCUUAGUGAUCCGGUGGUUCCGUAUGGAAGGGCCAUCGCUCAACGGAUAAAAGCUACCCUGGGGAUAACAGGCUUAUCUCCCCAAGAGUUCACAUCGACGGGGAGGUUUGGCACCUCGAUGUCGGCUCGUCGCAUCCUGGGGCUGUAGUCGGUCCCAAGGGUUGGGCUGUUCGCCCAUUAAAGCGGCACGCGAGCUGGGUUCAGAACGUCGUGAGACAGUUCGGUCCCUAUCCGUCGCGGGCGUAGGAAAUUUGAGAGGAUCUGCUCCUAGUACGAGAGGACCAGAGUGGACUUACCGCUGGUGUACCAGUUGUCUUGCCAAAGGCAUCGCUGGGUAGCUAUGUAGGGAAGGGAUAAACGCUGAAAGCAUCUAAGUGUGAAACCCACCUCAAGAUGAGAUUUCCCAUGAUUAUAUAUCAGUAAGAGCCCUGAGAGAUGAUCAGGUAGAUAGGUUAGAAGUGGAAGUGUGGCGACACAUGUAGCGGACUAAUACUAAUAGCUCGAGGACUUAUCCAAA
rnacentral:rRNA from 1 species